GGUUUCUAACUAAAACAUAAUUAUAACCGAGGCAGAAGAGAACAAAGCGCUAGAAGGGACAUUGCCUGAGCUACUCGGUGGAAUAUAUACUGAAGACAUCUCAGCAGCCCAAUAUUAACAGUUCUUGUUUCUACUUGGUAACAACAAAAUGUGAGCUAAUUUCAGUUUGGAAGGAGAAAAUGAAGGGAAGAGUCCCAAUCUUAAAUUAUUAGAGCAAAUAGGGGAAGGGUGGUUUGUACUUUGCAGAAAAUAAAACCACAGGGAAGUAUGAUUUACUCAUGCUCUUACAGGAAAUAUGUAGAAGUAAAGAGGUUAUCUGUCCCUCCUGACUCACAGCCCUGGAUUUGGGUGCAAGACCAUCCUUCCGCUGUUAUGGCACACUGGUGUUUCUCAGUGAACUAACUAUGAUCCCUGCAAAAAAUACUUAUUUGUCCUUUGUUCAUAUAAAAUUUGCAACAGUUCCAUGCCAAAAUUUGACAUAUAUCAAAACAGAAGCUUGACAGCUUUAAUUUAUAUUGAACAUAGCUCCCUUGAGUAUAUUCCUUGAAUAUUCCUCCCAUCACUGAAUUAUUUGAGCCGUCAUGAAGAAGAGAGUCUGGGAGGUAAUACUGCUACUUUUAUCUACAUUGGCUCUGGCCAGGAAUGACAGAUAAUGACAUUUCAGCAGGGAUUUCUUUUCUCUUCUUUGAGCAUCAGACUGCCUGAGGAAUGGCUGAGAUCCUCUGAUCCUUUACCAGAUAGCACAAUUUUCGGGAGCUCUCGUAUGAUGAUGACCAGAGUCCUGAUAACUCUUGGUCCAUACCCAGAGAACUCUCAAGAGCGAUGGCAGAACUGCAGCAAAGGUGUUCAGAAGGCAGUUAAAACCUCUUUGAUGGAAAAUCAUGGGAACAGCAGCUGUACCAUCAGAGGCAACCAUGCUACAUACAAGGCACACAGCCACAUGUCUUCUCCGAGCCCCAGAAGUGCAGGAGAUAACAAGCCCUGAGGAGCUGCUUUUCCUGAGAAGGUCUCAGAGGGACCACAGCCACUGCGGUCGCACUGGCAGAUGACACAAUCAGGUAGAUAGACUUACUGACAACAGGAACUCAGAAAUCUUUGGGGAGACUUGCUAAUCAGAUAGCAGUUCAGAAUUGCACUAAUUAAACAAGAGACUAAUUGAACAUAAAUUGCUCAUCUGAAUUCAAAAUUCUGUCUUAUAUAAACAUUGCUAAUCAAUUGUAUUGCUCUUGGCUGGG
rnacentral:lncRNA from 1 species